ACCCUAACAUAUGUUACAACUCCUAUCAAUUACAUCUGGCCUGAAACCAAAUCAAUACCAGCUUUAGAUGAGGCUGUCAGUUUGUGGUAUCUUGUAUCACUUAACUGAUUCAUUAUGAAUGGAAAAACUGCUAACUAGAUGUCUCUGUAUUACUUACUCUCUAUAUAAUGGAAUAUAUACUAAUUUAGAUAACAACUAUGUUUUGAUAACUACAAGCAAUCUUUGCUUAUUGUUUAACUUAUGAAAGAAAUACAGCUCCUUGUGGUAUAUAAAGUUUGUUUCCAUGUGUCCAACAGAUUGACUAAGAUCAUGAGGACCUGACUGCUGUACAGAAAUCUGAAGACGCUUCUCUGUGUUGACUCUGAAUUUAAAUACAUCUUUGUCUUUAGGACACACAGAGUAGCCUCCCUUGCCAUCAUCUUCACGGAAUUCAAGACUCACAGAAAAUGUAAAAGUAUGCUCACUGCUAGUAAAUGAUGCCUCAUUAGA